AGGCCUAACACAUGCAAGUCGAGCGGAUGAGGGGAGCUUGCUCCCUGAUUUAGCGGCGGACGGGUGAGUAAUGCGUAGGAAGCUGCCCGAUAGAGGGGGAUACCAGUUGGAAACGACUGUUAAUACCGCAUAAUGUCUACGGACCAAAGUGUGGGACCUUCGGGCCACAUGCUAUCGGAUGCGCCUACGUGGGAUUAGCUAGUUGGUGGGGUAAUGGCUCACCAAGGCGACGAUCCCUAGCUGGUUUGAGAGGAUGAUCAGCCACACUGGAACUGAGACACGGUCCAGACUCCUACGGGAGGCAGCAGUGGGGAAUAUUGGACAAUGGGCGCAAGCCUGAUCCAGCCAUGCCGCGUGUGUGAAGAAGGCCUUCGGGUUGUAAAGCACUUUCAGUGGGGAGGAAGGGGUUGUAGUUAACA
rnacentral:rRNA from 1 species